rnacentral:tRNA from 1 species
CAAGAUGUAGCUUAUUUAAAGCUUAUUAGUUACAUUAAUAUGAAAAUUAUUUUAUUUUUCUUGA